GGGAUUGUGGCUCAGUGGUAGAGAGCUCACCUAGCGUGUGUGAGGCACUGGGUUUGAUUCUCAGCCCCA
rnacentral:tRNA from 1 species